rnacentral:rRNA from 1 species
CCUACGGGAGGCAGCAGUGGGGAAUAUUGCGCAAUGAGCGAAAGCUUGACGCAGCGACACCGCGUGCGGGAUGAAGGCCUUAGGGUUGUAAACCGCUUUCGGCAGGGACGAAGCGAAAGUGACGGUACCUGCAGAAGAAGGUCCGGCUAACUACGUGCCAGCAGCCGCGGUCAUA